AACGAACGCUGGCGGCAUGCCUAACACAUGCAAGUCGAACGAGACCUUCGGGUCUAGUGGCGCACGGGUGCGUAACGCGUGGGAACCUGCCCUUAGGUUCGGAAUAACUCCCCGAAAGGGGUGCUAAUACCGGAUAAUGUCUUCGGACCAAAGAUUUAUCGCCUUUGGAUGGGCCCGCGUUGGAUUAGCUAGUUGGUAGGGUAAAAGCCUACCAAGGCGAAGAUCCAUAGCUGGUCUGAGAGGAUGAUCAGCCACACUGGGACUGAGACACGGCCCAGACUCCUACGGGAGGCAGCAGUGGGGAAUAUUGGACAAUGGGCGAAAGCCUGAGCCAGCAAUGCCGCGUGAGUGAUGAAGGCCUUAGGGUUGUAAAGCUCUUUUAACCGGGAUGAUAAUGACAGUACCGGGAGAAUAAGCGCCGGCUAACUCCGUG
rnacentral:rRNA from 1 species